UGUACAUAGUUUAAAAAAAUUCUAGCCUGUGAUUCUAGAGAUGAGAGUUAAAUACUCCUGUUCACC
rnacentral:tRNA from 1 species